GACGAGGGGGGCUAGUGUUAUUCAGCAUGACUGGGCGUAAAGGGCAUGUAGGCGGCAAUUUAAGUUUCUUGUCAAAGCCCAAAGCAUAACUUUGGUUAGGCAAUUUAGACUAAAAGGCUUAGAGUUGUAUUAAGGAUUGUAGAAUUUCUGGAGGAGCGAUAAAAUGUUAAUCCCAGAAGGAAUACCAACGGCGAAGGCAACAAUCUAGAUACAUACUGACGUUGAUAUGCGAAAGCAUGGGGAGCAAACAGG
rnacentral:rRNA from 1 species